rnacentral:rRNA from 1 species
AUAAUACUAACGGCGUAAAGCACGACUAAAAACAAGUUAAACAUUAGGAACGAAGCCAAACUGGGCUGUAAAAAGCCAUAAGCCACACUAACCACCCCCUAACAACAAACAACUUCAACUCGUGAAAGUUAGGAUACAAACUAAGAUUAGAUACCCUACUAUGCCUAACCAUAACAUAACAAUCAAAUUACUAAUUGUUCGCCAAAUAACUACGAGUAAAAACUUAAAAUUUAAAAGACUUGACGGUGCCUUAAAACAACCUAGAGGAGCCUGUCUAAUAACCGAUACCCCACGAUUAACCCAACCCACCCUAGCCAACAGUCUAUAUACCGCCGUCGCCAGCCUACCUUAUGAAAGAAACAAAGUAAGCUUAAUAGUUAUACACUAACACGACAGGUCGAGGUGUAACUAAUGGGGGGGUCCAAGAUGGGCUACAUUUUCUAAACCAGAAAAUACGAAUUAACCCAUGAAAAAGAAACUGAAGGCGGAUUUAGCAGUAUGCUAGGAACAACAAACCUAGCAGAAAUUAACGCAAUGAGGUGCGUACACACCGCCCGUCAUCCCUGCCAACUAACAACUAAAACAUACAUAAG